UUCUCUCCAUCUCUGCGCCUUGGUCUCCCCCUGCCUCCUCCCCUCCUUCCCUCCUCAUUACUCAACCCGUAGUAACCCCACAGCUAUCUGCAGGAUGGAGGAGGAGGAGGCCGGGUCUUCUGGGUGCUGGCUGCGGUUGCUCGGGUUAACCCUCUGCUGCCUGCCUGCCUCACUCCGAGCCCACUGGACAUGGUCAUGGACUUAUCACCACCAAAUCGAGUUAUCUGUCUUCUUGUUGGAACAUAAGCUUAGCAAAUGCCUGAACUUCGGCUCCUCCAGUGUUUGAUCUUGGUAUCCACGAAGUCCCUAGAGCACGUGUGGAGCUCUGCAGAGCCGGCUUCAAGGAGCAUGCGUGUCCUGUAACCUGGGAGCUGGGUCACCAGGCUGACCUGGCAGAAACAGUUCAUUCUGAGGCCUCCUUUUGGGUUUUUGCAUUCUGGCUGGUGAGAUUCUGCGGAUUCACAUCCCCAGAUUCCUACCGGGAGGGCGAAGCCCAGUGUCUUGGGCUUCCAAUGGCCAGAGGACCAGGACUCUGUCCUCAAGGGUGAACAUUUUCAGUAGGGCCCACUGGCCAGCGACCUCUGUUUCCCUUCAGCAGCAGAUCUUUAGUUGUUUCCUGGUUCUGUGAGGUAGAGGAGACCCUGAUUGCUUUUAUUAAAUACUUUCUACCAAGA